CGGGCUGUGGCGCAGCUUGGUAGCGCGCGUCGUUCGGGACGACGAGGCCGCAGGUUCAAAUCCUGUCAGCCCGAC
rnacentral:tRNA from 1 species